CAGAUUCAUCAGUACCAGUUGCUUUGAUCGUGGGUGUGACGGGCAUGGCAGGAUUGAGCUUGGCAGAAGCUCUGAAGAAGCCAACAGUACUCUCAUCAUCUGCUACAAAGUUCCCAUGGAAAGUGUAUGGAGUAGCUAGACAACCCUUGCCAAGCUGGUUCCCUUCUUCUUUGCUUGACCAGUUCAUAUCAGUGGAUGUCCUAGACCAAACCCAAACAAUCCAGAAACUCACUCCUAUAUCCUCUCAAGUCACUCAUGUCUUCUGGGUUGCCCUCCAACUUCGUGAAACUGAAGAAGCUAAUGUUACUCUGAAUUCUAUCAUGCUAGCCAACGUACUUGAUGUGCUCAUAUCUGCCUCUCCUUCUAGGCUCAGGCAUAUAACCUUGCAAACAGGGACAAAGCACUACCUGGGUCCGAUAUUUGAUCCUCAACUCGCAGACAACCUUGUACAUCAUGAGCCACCAUUCGAGGAGCACAUGCCUAGGCUCCCUUACCCAAAUUUCUACUAUGCUUUAGAAGAUCUAGUGGCGUCCUACUCGCCUUCCAUUACAUAUUCUGUGCAUCGAUCCUCUAUAAUAAUCGGUGCAUCUUCAAGAAGUUUUCAUAACUGUCUGCUCACUUUAUGUGUGUAUGCGAACAUUUGUAGGCACAAAGGGCUACCCUUCAGGUAUCCUGGAAGCAAAUACACAUGGGAGCAUUUCUGUGAUAUGACAGAUGCCAGAGUUCUAGCAGAGCAACAUAUAUGGGCAGCGGUGACAGACACAGCUAAGAACCAAUCUUUUAAUUGCACUAAUGGUGAUGUUUUCACUUGGAAAAGGUUAUGGAAGGUCCUGUGUGAGAUGCUUGAUGUUGAAUUUGUGGACUUUGAUGAGAAUGAAAAGUUUGAUUUGGUUGAGAUGAUGAACGAUAAAGGAAAAGUGUGGGAUGAGAUUGUUAAAAAGUAUGAGCUUUUUAAAACUAAGAUGGAGGAUAUUACUUGUUGCGAUGCCGUUAAUACGGUGUUGCAUUUCAAGCUUCAGCAUGUUUGCAGCAUGAAUAAGAGUCGUGAAAUGGGUUUUCUUGGAUUUGCUGAUACUCCCAAGAGCAUUCGGAUGUGGGUUGGGAGAUUGAGAGACAUGAAAAUCAUUCCUUAAACAUGGCAUGCUUUUUUACCUCUGUUUUAAGGAUUGUCUGAUGCUCUCUGUUGUGGUCCUUUGCUUUCCCCUUGGGGAUUACCGCUGAGUGCUUUUGCAGAGCUUCAUAUUCUGCUCCUGCAGCGGUAAUUGCCGGGAUCUAAGGCAUGGGUCAUCGAGCUGUUGAUCACCUAAUGCUUCCUGUUAUUCUGUUUCUGAUUGUAUCCGUGUUGUUCUGUCGUUUUGGUAUUUUUCAUCUGCAGGGUUUUCUCCAAGGUCUUACCUUGUAUUUUGUUUCUUUAAUAAUAUUUUCUAUGGCUUAUCAAUAAAAUAAAAAGGCCUUUUAUCGUCUUUCAAACUCAUUAUUGAUUGAUAAUUCUGCAGACAAUUCAUCCAGUUUCGUUGUAUUACAGCUCGUUUUCUUAUCCUUUGAGAUUUUGUUUUAUCUGUCCCUGCUUCGCAACGAGUGGAGAUCAAAGGCGCACUGCAUUUUUCGUGUUUCAAUUGAUUUUUGUACGUUUUCUUUUUUUAGGUAUAAUUGGUUUUACAGGAACUCUGUCCCCAGAAAAAUCUUCAAUACUAAUGACCUGAACAGAAAUUAUUAGUAGAUCCGAACUUGGAUCCAUGUGAUUUUUUUACCGGAGAAGCCACUUGUAUCUAAAAUCUAUUAGUUCUACUUAUGUUUUCUAAUUUACCCCUACCGCAAUAGAGGCCAAUAAAAUUUAAGCAGAACUUGCUAAAUCACAAAAUUAUCUAAUGGGAGCAAAGGCAAUUAAAUAUCUGUGCCAGCCAAAGUGAGAGUUCAUCCAAAUCAAACUGUUUUUUAUUGAACUUACAAUCUGUUAAAGGAGUCUUGACGAGCUGAAUUGAUUUUAAUUAGAUAAACCUUCCCCUAGUAAUCAUCAUCCAGCAUGAAUGCUCCAACCAGUAUAUUCUUUUCCCAAAAGAUAUGUUUAUUUCUACUACAUGGGUGGAGCAAUAUGUACAUCUCGCCAUAUCCACCAGUAAAUCAUAGCCAACACCUGGAACAAAGGAAAUUCCACAAUCAUACACACCUUAACAGUAUUCAUGUUCACAGCACUAACAUUACUUUUGUAAAAAGUAGCAAGAGACAUAUUAUGAGACAGAAGCGGGAAAUAUAUUAUGCACAGACGCACAUCUUUUUCCCAAAAGCGAUUUGCGGAGUUCAAUAAGCUUCAGUCUUUAUCGAUCGUAUUAGAGGGACCCAAUAGGUUUAGGGAUUGUACAUUGAAGAGCCUCCAUGAGAGUGAGACACAGGUUUAGAGAAUAUCCAGAUAUGAGGAUAGUUAAGUCUUUUUAAGUUUGAGUAACAGUAAAAAGAUUAAAAAUAACGGCAUUCUUAAGGUGAUUGCAAUCCCUCUUUAACCCUAAUGUUCUAAUUUUCCUAAAAAGGAGAGGGUAAAGAUUGCGUCUGCCAAAACUUCAAUUCAAACAGGAGCUGAAGGCCAUAUCGCGACUUUAGUUAAGGGUUUAUAUUGAAAUAUUAGUUUAUUUUAGUUUUUAGAAGUAUUGUUUAAACUUGAAAAUAUUUAUAAAUGAUAUUUAAUAUGUUCAAAAGCUUAUUACCUAAUUUUUUGUGUUAAUUGGAGUUUUAAGAGUUAUAGUGAAUUUCUAAAACAAAGAUUCUAGUUUUGAUAUUAAAAUUUUGGGUUAAGUAGGUUUGUUUCGGUAGAAUUAAUAUUAUUUUGAGAUGAAGUAUGUUGUUAUAGAAUAUUUAAUUAUUUUAAAAUUUUUUUAAAGGAAUAAAUAUAUCGGUAUAAAUAUUUUGAUUGAGAUUUGGACAAUGUAAUGAUGGUAUAAAAUUUAUAUUGUGAUGAACUAAGAUUGCAAAUCUAAAUAUUUGGACUAUAAUUUGAUUAUAGGUUUGAUAAGGGCAAUUGCGUUUGAGAUUUCAUAUGGAUCCCUUUAUAUUCGAUAUUGAGAAAGAGACCCGUAAAAUAUAGAAAAAUGGUCAAAUAUCCUAGUGGAGACCGUUUGACAUUCAAGUAAGAUCUAAAAUUUUUAGAGUGAUAUAUUAAUGGAAAAAGAUACAAAGAAAAAUAAAAUAGAGAAGAGAUUGAGGAAACUCCGGAGAGAAAAGAGAGAAUAUAUGUUUGAGUAUACAAGAGUGAGUCAGAGGGAUUUGAGAGAUGCGGGAAUCCCUUCUUUGGGUUAGAUAAGUGGUAUAUAUACUAAUUGAUUGUUUUGACAUCCCUUGAAUCAUGUCCCAUAGACUGGAUGGUAAUAUCUUAUUGUAGGCGUGUUAGACGACUUAUUAAUAAUGGAUAGUUAGUUAAUAAAUACAAAGUCGCGAGCCCAUACCUCGUCUAUCACUAGUGUUACAUCAGUCUAGUCUAUUUUACAUGUAUGUAUAUUUAUGGGCUCGGCGAUGCAUCAAGGAGACAAUCAUUGCAUAGGAGUUUGGCAUCAUACCCUAAUCUCAUUAGGUCGUACUCGGCUCGCUCAAUCUAUAUUGAGGUGAGUCCCUCUAAUCACUUAUGAUUGGUCGGGCUUGCAUCUAUUAUCGAGUCUCGAAGAAGUCUAUUCGUCCGUUUCGGACUUUGACAUAAUCAGACGCGUUGUUCUGAUUUUUAUAUCUCAUAGGCUGUAAUAACUUAUCCAUUUCCCUUAAUCCCAAGUUUGCAAAACGAGAAUUAGUUCAGGAGUUCAACAGUGUUUUAUGGUAUAGUUCUGAUAUAAUAGUAUAGUUGUAGAUAUGUAAUAUUUUGUAGAUUAGAAUUGUAUUUCGCCCGAAUUUUCUUUUAUAAUCCCUUAUGGUCUUACUAUAUAAAAAUUUUAAAGUUUGAGCUAUGUUUGAACCAACUGGGUAUAUAAUAAUGACCAUAUUAAAGCAUUUGAUGAGGAUUUUAAUAUGAAUUUAUAUUUUCAGAUAUGUUUGUAUUGAGUUUUAGUUCAUGAAAAAUAUUUUUAUAUAUUUUAAGAUUAUGUUUGAGAUUUUAUUAAGUGUAACAGGAUAUAUAAUAGGAUUGUUAUGGACUCUAGUAGCGGUUUGAUUUUCGGAUCAUUAUAUAGGAAAAUAAGGAAUGUAGUAUAUAAAUAAGUGAAUCAGCAUUGGAUUUAGUAUCAAAUUUAAUCCAUUAUAAAAUUUAAAAAAAAAAUACAGGCGAAUAAAAAUAAAAAGAUGGUAUUAUUUUUUAAAUUUUAGUAAUGUGUUCUCCGAUCCAGAUUAAUAAUGAAUUUAAUAACAGAUUAUUUUUUUAUUAAAUUACAAAAAAAAAUAUAAAAUUUUAAAAUAAAAGCGCCGCAUUUUUCUCUAAAUUUUAAUAACAAAUUCCCUAAUCUAUAGUAACUUUUUGAAUUAGUAACUGUUUUUAAAUUAACAAGAAAAUGUAGAAUUUAAAAAAAAUAAUUUGAUGUCUAAAAAAUUGUAAUGAAUUAAGUCUGCUAUUAAUUUUAUAAUAGAUUAUAUCCCUUAUUGAAUCUGUAACUAUUUUAUUUAUUUAUAUUUAAAUUAUUUAUUUAUUUUUAAAUAAUUUAUUUAACAAUUAAAAUGUAAUAACGGGUGCAGAUGAAUUACUAAUAUUUUGUUAAUUCAAUAAUUAAUUAGUAACGGAUUUAAAAAUGAAUGUAAUAACGAAUUGAAAUCUAUUAUUAAUAUUUUAUUAAUUUAGUAAUGGAUUAGUAAUCGAUUUUAAAAUUGAUUAUUAAAUUUACCAAUAAUUUUAUUAGUAACAAAUUUUGUAAUUAAAAAUCAAAUACAUUUCAAGUAAAAAAAAAUUUAUGAAUUAAACAGUUCUAGAUUUUAAAAACUAUGUUUCUAAUAAUAGAAAUAUAUAAAAAAAGUUAACUUUAAAAAUUUUAAUUUUACAAAAAUUAAAACAAUUUCUACACAUUAUUUUAUUUUUUCAGCAAUAUGAAUAAUUUAAUUUAUUUAAAUUAAAAAGUCAAAACAAAAACUUAAAAUAAUUUUUUUAAUUAUUUUAACUUUUUUAAAAAUAUUACUAAUUUUAAUUGCGCAAGAAUUAAAAAAGUUAUUACAUCUAAAAUAAUUACUGAAGUAAAAUGUAUUAUAGAGAUAAAAAUAUGGCUAAUUUAAAUUUUUUAAAAAUUAAAAAAUAAAAAUAAUUAAAUUAAGAUAUUACAUUUCUAAUAAUAAUAAAAUUAUAAAAAAUAAUUAAUAUUAUGUCUAAACUAAUAAAAAAAAAACUAAAGAAGAGAAGAUAGAGUUAGGGUUAGAAUAUAAUAAUUGGAUGAAAAAUAAUUAUUUGUUGGUUUAUGAAUAAAAAUAUAAAAAUUGAAUAAAUAUUUAAACUAAUUUAAUAUUGUUAUUUUACUAAUUUUAUUAAUUGGAAUUGGGUGACUUAGUUGAAUUUAAUGGAUUGAUCCAACCCAUGAAUAUUUCUAUUCAAGAGUUUUAGUGGUAAAAUCUCAAUGGUAAAAUCUCAAUGGUAAAAUUUUAAGGGUGAGAUUUCAUAAGAUAAGAUCUCCAAAGAUAAGAACUCUAAAGUAAAGUCACAAAUGUAAGACUACAAAAAGUAAGAUCAGAAAAUAAGAAAUAAAACCUCGAAAAGGAAAACUUUAUAAAUCAAAAUUUUAAAGUUUUGAAAUUUUAAUUUUAUUUUUUAAGAAGACCACAUUUAUUUUAUUAAUUAUAAUCAAUUUCAACUUACGGUGAAAAUAAUUAAUUUAUUAAGAAUUUUUUAAUUUUAUAUAAAUAUAAAAUAUACUCUCUUAAUUUAAUUUAUAUUUAGUCAUUUAAUUUAUUUGAUUGAAUUAGAGAACGUAGACAUUUAAUAAUAUAAAAAUUAUUUAAAUUAAAUAACGUGGAUCCCAUCAAAAAAUAUACUAAAAGAAUAUUCUACACCCCAUAAAAAACAUUAGUUAAGUUAAGGAGGAGUUCGACAAAAAAUAAAAAUAAAAAUAUUAUUGUUAUAAUGCCAAUAUCGUUUAUGUGGUCUCAAAUAUUAUAUGCAUUCAAGUAUUUGCCUUUGAGCUCCCUGCACUUCACUUCGGCUGCUUAGAUCUCAGACGCUCCAAUUGCUAUCUUUCCCAUCAACACAAGCUAAUUAAAACUAUUAUCACUCGUUUCGCAUUUUAAUGGAGGAUGGAACUUCAGAUACAUCACUACCAGUUGCCUUGAUUGUGGGUGUCACGGGCAUGGUAGGCUUGAGCUUGGCAGAAGCUCUUAAGAAGCCAACACCACUCUCAUCAUCUGCUGGAAAGUUCCCAUGGAAAGUGUAUGGAGUAGCUAGGCAACCCUUGCCAAGCUGGUUCCCUUCUUCUUUGCUUGAUCAAUUCAUAUCAGUGGAUGUCCUAGACCAAACCCAAACAAUCCAGAAACUCACUCCUAUAUCCUCUCAAGUCACUCAUGUCUUCUGGGUUGCCCUCCAACUUCGUGAAACUGAAGAAGCUAAUGUUACUCUGAAUUCUAUCAUGCUAGCCAACGUACUUGAUGUGCUCAUAUCUGCUUCUCCUUCUAGGCUCAGGCAUAUAACCUUGCAAACAGGGACAAAGCACUACCUAGGUCCGAUAUUUGAUCCUCAACUCGCAGACCAGCUUGUACAUCAUGAGCCACCAUUCGAGGAGCACAUGCCUAGGCUCCCUUACCCAAAUUUCUACUAUGCUUUAGAAGAUCUAGUGGCGUCCUACUCGCCUUCCAUUACAUAUUCUGUGCAUCGAUCCUCUAUAAUAAUCGGUGCAUCUUCAAGAAGUUUUCACAACUCUCUGCUCACUUUAUCUGUAUAUGCGACCAUUUGUAAGCACAAAGGGCUACCCUUUAGGUUUCCUGGAAGCAAAUACACAUGGGGGCAUUUCUGUGAUAUGACAGAUGCAAGAGUACUAGCAGAGCAACAUGUAUGGGCAGCGGUGACAGAUACGGCUAAGAACCAAGCUUUUAAUUGCACUAAUGGUGAUGUUUUCACUUGGAAAAGGUUAUGGAAGGUCCUGUGUGAGGUGUUUGGUGUUGAAUUCGUGGACUUUGACGAGAAUGAAAGAUUUGAUUGGGUUGAGAUGAUGAAGGAUAAAGGAAAAGUGUGGGAUGAGAUUGUUAAAAAGUAUGAGCUUUUUAAAACUAAGAUGGAGGAUAUUACUUGUUUCGAUGCCGUUAAUACGGUGUUGCAUUUCAAGCUUCAGCAUGUUUGCAGCAUGAAUAAGAGUCGUGAAUUGGGUUUUCUUGGAUUUGCUGAUACACCCAAGAGCAUUCGGAUGUGGGUGGGGAGAUUGAGAGACAUGAAAAUUAUUCCUUAAACAUGGUCUGCUUUUUUACCUCUGUUUUAAGGAUUGUCUGAUGCUCUCUGUUGUGGUCCUUUGCUUUCCCCUUGGGGAUUACAGCUGAGUGCUUUUGCAGAGCUUCAUAUUCUGCUCCUGCAGUGGUAAUUGCCGGGAUCUAAGGCUUGGGUCAUCGAGCUGUUGAUCACCUAAUGCUUCCUGUUAUUCUGUUUCUGAUUGUAUCUGUGUUGUUCUUUCGUUCUGGUAUUCUUCAUCUUUAGGUUUUUCUCCAAGGUCUUCCGUUGAAUUUUGUUUCUUUAAUAAUAUCUGUGUUUGUUUCGUUACAUUUCAGCUCGUUUUCUCAUCCUUUUAGAAUAAAUUUGUGAUUGGUUGAGUUUAUAUAUUUUUAAAAUAAAAUAUUAAUCUAAACCGAGUUUAAGUAGUUUUAUUAUAUUAAAUUACAGUGAGUUUCAUAAAAACCUAAAUAUUUAAUACAGUUUUAUGUAUAUUCAAUUUAAGCAAGAAUUACUUUAUUUUUAUAUAUUUUAGUACAAUUAAAAAGUUUCCUUUUUUCAUAAACAAUAAUUUUAUUAAAAUUAAAAUUUAAUCAGGAAAAAAUUAGCAUGAGGAAUCUAUCUCAACCCAGGUCAUCAGAUCUUUUAAUUACAUCCGAUUAAAAUCCCUCGUGCUAAAUUAAAAAAAUCUAUUACAGGAGAUAUUAUUUCAGAUGAUACAUGAAUUAAUCUAAUAUUAUAAAAAUUUUUUAGAUUAAUAAUAAAUUUUUUAUAAAUUAAUAAUGAUUUUUUUCAUUAUUAACUUAUAUGAUGAAAUUACAUCUGUUAUUAUAAAUUUCAUUUGCUAAUACAAUAAUAACGGAUAAUAGCAAUCAAUUACUAAUUUUAUAAUUUUUUAGCAAUUCAUUAUUAAUUUUAAUUAAAUUUAAUAAUAAAUUUUAAAUUUAUUAUUAAUUUGAUAAAUUAUAAAAAAAUAAAUAUUAAAUUUGUUAUUAAAUUUAAUAAUAAGUAGAAAUCAAUCACUAAUUUAAUAAAAUGAAAAAUGAAAAAAAUAUAAAAAUUAUAUUCUGUUAUUAAUUUUUAAAAAAUAUUAAAAAAAUUAUGUUACACUAUUAAUUUUUUCAUUCUAUUUUACACUAAAUAUUAAUAUAAUUAUGAUAAAUUAUUAAUUUUGUUAUUAUAUUUUAAAUUUUAUUAAUUUUAUGAAAACUUAUUAUAAAAUUAUAUAAGAAAAAUGAAAAAAUAUGAUAGAAGGGAAGAAAAUGAAAAAUAAAAGAGAAAAUAAGGAAAAAAAGGAAAAUAAUGAAAAGGAGAAAUUAAAGAAAAUAAGAAAAAAAUGAAGAAAACAGAAAAGAAAAUGGAAAAAAAAUGAGAGAAAAAUGAAGUGAAAAUGAAAGGAAAACAAAAGAGAAAAUAGAAUAAAAUAGAAAAGAAUGAAAAAGUUAGAAGAAAUGUUAGAAAAUAAAGCAAACGAAAAAAUAACGAGAAAAAAGUAAGGCGAAAUGAUAGAAAAUGAAUGAGAAAUGAUAGAAAAUGAAUGAGAAAAUGAAAGAAAUGGAAGAAAGUGAAAGAAAAAUUAAAAAAUUUAAAAGAAGAAAAAAAAGGAUAUGAGAUAAAAUAAAAAAUAAAAUAAAAAUUAAAAGAUAAAAAGAAUAAUAAUAAGAAAAUGAAAGAGAAAAUUAAAAAAAAAUAGAGAAGAAAUAACAAUAUGGAGAAAAAAAUAAAAUAUGAGAAAAAUGAAGAAAUAAGGAGAGGAAAAGGGAAAGGGAAAGAAAAUGAAUGGAAUGAUAAAAGGGAUUUAGUAUUGAAUUUAAUAUUAAUUUAAUUUAUCAUUAAAUUUAAAAGAAAAUUCGAGCGAAUAAAAAUAACAAUCAAUAUUAUUCUCUAAAUUUUAUUAAUUUAUUAUUAAUUUUUAGAAUAGUAAUGAAUUCAAUAAUAAAUUAUUUUUGUUAUUAAAUUAAAAAAAAUAUUUAAUUUUAAAAUAAAAGUAUAAUAUAUUUUUUUAAAAUUUAGUAAUAGUUUUUUUUAAUAAAAUUUAGUAAUAAAUUAUAGAAUUUAUCGCUAAUUUUUGAAUUAAUAAUGAAAAUUUGUGACUAAAUUGGAAAAAAAUAUAAAAUUUUAAAAAAUAAAAAAUUUAUUUAUUGUAAAAAAUAAUAAUGAAUUAAAUCAAUUAUUAAUUUAAUAAUAAACUGUAUUCUGGUGUUAAAUUUGUUAUUAUUUUAUUCAUUUACUGUUUAAAUAAUUUAUUUAUUUAAAUUUAUUAUUAAUAUUUACUAAUUUAGUAACAGAAGUGACAAAUUUCAAAUUUUUUUAUUAAAUUUAUAAAUAAUUUUAUUGAGCAACAGAUUUAGAAUGAGAUUUAGAAUGAAUUUUACAAUUAGAAAACCAAUUAUAUUUUAAAUAAAAAAAUAAAAAAUCAAUUAAUUUUAUAACCUAAACACUUUUAGAUUUUGCAAGUUAUAAUUCUAACAAUAGAAAUAUAAAAAAAGUUAAUUUAAAAAUUUCAAUUUCAAUUUUACUGAAAUUAAAAAGUUAAAAUUAAAUUUAAAAUAAUUUCUACGCAUUAUUUUAUUUUUUCAGCAAAAUAAUUAAUUUUAAUUUUAUAUAAAUUAAAAAGUCAAAAUAAUUUUUUUCAUUAUUUUAAUUUUUUCCAAAAAUGUUACUAAUUUUAAUUAUGCAAGAAUUAGAAAAGUUAUUCCAUCUGAAAUAAUUACAGAAGUAAAAUGUAUUGUAUGUAUAAAAAUAUGGCUAAUUUAAAUUUUUUAUAAAUUAAAAAAAUAAAAAUAAUUAAAUUAAAUUUUAUAUUUAAGGUGGAGUUCGACAAAAAAAGUAGACUAUUUCUCUGGCUCAUGGUCUUAUCUCUUUCUUUUUCCUCUCCUCCUCUUUUUUCUAUAUUUUUUUUAUAAUUAAUUAUUUGAGAAUUUUAUAUAUUGUAUGGAGUGCCUGCCUCAGUUAAGUUAAAUAGGUAUAAUAGUUUUUUAAAUUAAUUUUAUAUUUGACUUAGUGGUUAAUUAUUAUAUACUAUAUUAAAAUAGAAAUACCUUGUACAAUCCAAAUUACUUAACUACUUUGCCCUUGUUAGCAUAUCAACAACACAAAUAAAAGAUUAAUUGUCUUUGUCAUCUCAAAUUUUUAACAAAUUCCUUUGUAUUGCCACUUUGUAAGUAUUCCAUAAGUACACGCAGGUAAAACAAUAAUGCCAAGGUAAUCAAAAAAAUAUUUAAUUCAUUUUUAUUAUAUUAAUUUUUUUAUUUACUUUUUAUAAAAAAACUUUUUUUCUACUUUAUUUUUUUUUAUUUUUAAAAUUUUAUUUUAAUAAAAAUAUUAUAAUAUUAUAUAUUUAUUCUGAUAAUAAGUAUAUUUGAGUAAUAUAUAUAUUUGAGUAAAUUUGAAAGACGGUGAGAAUUGAAGAAUAAUAAUUAGAAUAUAAGAAGUAUAAGUCACCACCGCCUAGAGACGACGAGAACUCAAUUUAGACAGAAACUCAUUACUCAGUUUUCCUUACGGUGAGGAUGCGGAAAUAGGCAGGAAGAUUGACAUAUAGGCUUCAAUUUUGGAAAUACAGCCAUCAAUGACACCUGUCAACUACAUGCAAGAGUUUUGUAAUAUUUUAAUGUUAACGUUUUUUUUUUAAAGAAAUUUGUUAGUUGUUCUUAAACAUAGAUUUAGGUUACAAAAUUUAAUAAUUUAUCUUUAAAGUUUACAAAAAAUAAAAGUUGUAUACUUUUUUAAAAGAAAAUUUGAAUUAUAAAAAAAACUUAACGAAAAGGUUUGAAGAACAAAUAUAAUAAUUAAAAUUUAUAUAAACACUACAAUUAAUUUAAAUAAAAAUAAAAAUUUAAAAUAAUUUAACAACAAUUAAAUUUAGUGCUUUAUUAUAAUGAUAUAAAGUUUUUAUAGACAUUUUAAUUAAUUUAUUAAAUAUUUUAUAGAAAAUUUCCUCCAUAAGUAUUCCACAAGCAAACCUAACUAAAACAAUAAAUUAGCUAAGGUAAUCAGCAAAAUAUUUAUUUCAUUUUUAUUAUAUUAAUUUUAUAAAUAGUUUUGAUUAAAAAAUUCUACCACUAAUUUUUUGUAGUUUUAAAUUUUUAUUUUAAUAAAUACACUGAAAAACUAAAAGUUGUUUGAUACACUUUCAUAUAUCCUAGUUUUUCCUUAUUGAAGGAUUUUACCAGUUUUUUUUACUAUAUUAUAGUAAUAUUUAAAAUUUAUAUAAGACAGAUUAUAUUACAUUAAAGAGGAGAAAUUUAAAUUCAAAAUAUUCAAAAUCAAGUUUUGACUAUUAGAAUAUGAAGUGGUUGGCCUCCACUUGUUUCCAUGUUAACGUGAACUGCACCGUUCAAAAUUUAUAAUAUUUAAUACGAUUAAAAUAAAAUUAUACCGUAAUUGAUUAAUCUGUAAAAAAAGAAAUGUGAGCUAAUUAAUAUUUAUAACAGUCACCUUAAUACUCAAGUCAGUAAAUUAAAAAAAAUAAUAAUAAAUUGAUUAAAACUAAAAAUAAUUGUGUAAAAAUUGUAUAUCUUGACUUUCGUAUUUAUCAAUUUUUAUACUGUAAAAAAUAUAAAAUUAAUUAUUAAAUCUCCUAAAUAUCUAACUGUCAUUGAAUAAUAUCUGUAAUUAUAAAUAUAAUAAAAAUCUAUUUGAUUAUUUUUUUUAAUAAUAAUUUUUCAUAAAAUCUCGUCUUACUAAAAUAAAAAUAAAUUUUAGUAAAGAGUUGAAAAUGACAGUGUUUGAAACUUUUUAUAGGACUGCAUAUUAUCCUAUGAUACUUUGAUCACUCAAUUUUAUUUUAAAGGGAUAGUUAAUAAUUUUAUUUAUACGAAUCAAUAUUCAUAUUGAUUAAUAAUUUAAAUUGAAUAAUCUCAUUUUUGUUUCUAAUUGCUAAGCAGUCGCUCAUUUGUCUUUAUCCUAGCACCCCAAUAAUUCUUAAACAAGUGGCACGAUGAUAUUAUUAGAAUAUUAAAUAUCAAGUGCACAGAGGCGUACUAUAGAAAUUGAUUUAGUAAAAUAAAAAAAAUUAUUGACCUCUUGUGUGAUCAAACACCAACUGAUCGCACUAAAAUUCUCUCUUUAUUUCUCCUUCACAAACGGAUCAUUGGAAAAUAAAAAGCUUCUGACGACUUAUGUUGUAUGACCUUUGUUAAUUUUUUUGAAUUUAGUUUGUCUGGACAGACUUUAUCAACCUCUUUUAAGGUUUUUUUUUUGUUUUCUGAAAAUAAAUUAUAUUUAAAAAAUAUUUUCUAAAAAAAAUAUUUGCUAUAAUAAAUAUUUUUUGAUAAUAUAUUUUAUUUUUUCUUAUUUAUUUUAAUUAAAAAAAAUUUAUCAAUAAAUUUAUAUACAGAAAUCUUAAAAAAAUUUUAAUAUGUGAAAAAUUAUUAAUCGAUUCAAUUCAAUUUUUUUUAAUUAAAAUUAAAUUAAAUUAAAAUAAUUAAAAUUUUAAAAAUAAAAAUUAAAUUAAACUGAAAUAAAUAAAAAAUUAAAUUAAAAUUUUAAAUUGAUUCAAUUUCAUUAAUUUUUUUCAAUUUUAACUGUUCACCCAACUAAUAGUAAUAAUAUAAUUCUGUCAUGGAUAACAAAGAAGAAAAUAAUGCAGUUUGAAAUCGGAAUCUUGGAUCCAAACACUGCACGUUUUAAUUAAUUAAGCUAGGUGGGCUAGGUAGAAAUUUUAAUUUAAUUCACUUAAAUUAACAUAAAAAUAUGUUUAUGACUUUAUAUGAUGACAGAUUUACAGAGAAUUUUUUUAAAAAAAUACGUGGAAAAUGUGGGCUAAAAGUUUAAAAACUUAAAUAAAAAAGUUUUAACUGAAUUUUACAUAAUAAUUCUUAUAUAUUUAUGUUUAUUAAUAUAAAUCUCAAUCAUUUUCUCAUUUUAAUUUUAAUUUUUAUUAUUAUUUUCAAACCAUUUACGCGACAGUCCGGUUAAAAUUGACCCAAAUAAUUUUUAAAUUUAUUUCUAUUUAACCCAAAAUGAUUAAUUUAAGUUAUUUAGUAGUUUCAUAUUAGCUAUUAUAUACUAUUCGAACGAAAAUGCCGUAUUCCGUCGAUGUUGGAUGCUUUUCGUAAGCUAGCAGGUAAACAUUAUAUUUUUCACUGCCAAAUUUGUGAUCUAUUCGUUACAACUGAAUCGGAUACAAUUGUUAAACUAAAAUCCGACCCUUAGAUAUUGUGAUUCGCUAGUAAUUCGGGCGGCUCCACUUCAUCUCACACAAGUAGCUCUUUCCUAGUAGUUUCACUGUGUCUGCACAAUUUAUCUGAUUCAAAGUGACUUUGAUACCAAUUGAAACAGUCCAAAUAACUUUUAAACCCACUUUCUAUUUAACCUAAAAUAAUUAAUCUAAAUUAUUUAGUAAUUACCUACCGAUUAUUAUAUACAAUUCAAAAUUGCAUAUUGCAUAUGCCGUCGACCUCGAAUAAUUUCUGACAAGCAGAUGAACACCACAAUUUAAUUAUCUAUUAUUAUUUUUACAAUAACAAUCUUUUUUUCAAUAAAUUACAAUAACAAUUUUAUCUGCAAUUAAUUCACCUCUGUAAUAAAAAUAUUGAUUGUGAUUAUUUUAUCCAAUUAUAAUUUCUUAUUUGUAUAGUUAUUUUUAAAUUUGUAUUUUAUUAAUAAAAGCAAAAAACUUUCUUUCUUAAUUUUACAUUAUAUAUCUUAGAUUUUUUACAUAUGCUAACCCAUUUUUUUAAUUAGUUGAAUUUUCUGAGCUAGAAGUAGUUUAUUUUUUAUUAAUUUCAUAGAUAAUCGGUUAAAACUUCACGGUAGACAAGCACACCGACCUUUUUUCUAUAUCUAUAUAUCUCCCAUGAGCAAGCACUACUCAAAUCUCACACACCGAUUGCUUUCUUUCCCGUCAACCCCAGCUAAAACUAUUAUCAUUCGCUUCCCUUUCUAAUGGAGGAUGGAAUUGCAGAUUCAUCAGUACCAGUUGCUUUGAUCGUGGGUGUGACGGGCAUGGCAGGCUUGAGCUUGGCAGAAGCUCUGAAGAAGCCAACAGUACUCUCAUCAUCUGCUACAAAGUUCCCAUGGAAAGUGUAUGGAGUAGCUAGGCAACCCUUGCCAAGCUGGUUUCCUUCUUCUUUGCUUGACCAGUUCAUAUCAGUGGAUGUCCUAGACCAAACCCAAACAUUCCAGAAACUCACUUCUAUAUCCUCUCAAGUCACUCAUGUCUUCUGGGUUGCCCUCCAAAUUCGUGAAACUGAAGAAGCUAAUGUUACUGUGAAUUCUAUCAUGCUAGCCAACGUACUUGAUGUGCUCAUAUCUGCCUCUCCUUCUAGGCUCAGGCAUAUAACCUUGCAAACAGGGACAAAGCACUACCUGGGUCCGAUAUUUGAUCCUCAACUCGCAAACCAGCUUGUACACCACGAGCCACCAUUUGAGGAGCACAUGCCCAGGCUACCUUACCCCAAUUUCUACUAUGCUUUAGAAGAUCUAGUGGCAUCUUACUCGCCUUCCAUUACAUAUUCUGUGCAUCGAUCCUCUAUAAUAAUCGGUGCAUCUUCAAGAAGUUUUUAUAACUGUCUGCUCACUUUAUGUGUGUACGCAACCAUUUG
rnacentral:lncRNA from 1 species